UUCACCUCGCACCUCUCACCCUAAAUAAAUUAUCCCUACAUAUAUAUAUAUACAAGUUUCACAAUAAAAUUUAGCAGAUUUUGCUGGUUCAGAAAGAGCAGGUCAAGCAGUUACUAUUGGAGAACGUUUUAAAGAAGGUCGACUUAUCAAUUUGUCUCUUUCUGCAUUCGGAUUCGUAAUAAAGUAAUUAAGUGAAUCCCAAGACACACAAAAAUAUGUUAACUUUCGAGAUAGCAAAUUAACGAGAUUGCUACAAAAUUCAAUUGGUGGAAAUGCUAAGACAGCAAUAAUAUGCACUAUAACACCUGCUGCAUUAAAAGAAUCACAAUAUACGUUAUCAUUUGCGUCGCGUGCCAAGAGGAUAGAAAAUAAACCACAGGUUAAUGAAGUUAUGUCUGAUGCGACACUUUUAAAAUGUUAUGUCAAACAAAUAUCCAAACUCAAUUGUGAACUAGAGGAAUAAUGCAAAUAACGAAGACUCGUUUGGAUGUAAAUCUAAAAGAAGACGAACUUGGGCAGGACCAACAUGUAAACAAAAUGUUUAAUUUUGUUCAAAUUUUCAACCGUGUCAAGGUAUGCUUAAGAUCAAAGAAAUGUCACCGGUAAAACCUUGUAGAAAAAGUAUUAUUCAAAGUGUUGAUUUAAUGGAUUAUCAAACAUUUCAAAUAGCUUUUACGGAUUUUGAAUUAGAAUUAAUUAAUGAUGAAAAGGAUAGAGAAGAUGAUGAUUCCAUCGAUAGCUUCAAAGAAAUGUAUAUUAGAAAAAAUAGACAUCAACAUCGUGUAACAUUCAAGGACGAUCUAAGCAUUUAUAAACCUAAUAUAUAAUAUUUAUGAGAGUACACGUAUAAAGAAAGAUACACCUAUAAAGAGAUAUACACCAUCUCAGCUAAACGAUAUUCAAGAAGAUCAAUCUCUUNCACCGAAAAAAGUUUUACCUGAAAGACUAUCAUAUCUACAACAAGAAUGUGAUAAACUUUGUGAAUUUACAACAUUACAAAAACAAUUGUAUAUUGAGAAUCAUCAAUGUAAUUCCGUUGUAAGUAGAAUUUCCUUAAAACUUUUAUUUUAUUAUUUUGUUUACAUUAAAUAUACAAAUUUCUCUAUUAUAGGAUGAAAAACAAGUCGAGAUAGAUAGGGGAAAAUUCAGAUUUGCAAAAAGAAAUAAUUAAUGUUACUAGAGAAAAUAAUUUAUAAAAAAAUAUAUUAUUAGAAGUAUUAAAAUAUGCCACAAGUCCUAUCAAUAUAGAUGCAGAAAGCAUAGAAAUGGAUUUAUUGGAUGACACAUCACAAAUUCCAAAUGAAACAAUUUUGGAUAUACCUUUUAAAGAUAUUGAAGUUAAACACGUAAUUAAUAAGUUGCAAAAUAAAAUAAUGACAAGUAUAAAACAACAUCAGAUAAAAAAUUUGGAAAAAAUUUCUUAAAUCUACUAAUAAUACCUCAUCAUCAUAACCUCUUAUUACAAAAAUCAUUGCUCAUAACAUUUAGUCAUUAUAUAAAAAUAGUCAUUUACAAUAAUACUUUCAUAUAUACACAUA
rnacentral:lncRNA from 1 species